AGGACGAACGCUGGCGGCGUGCCUAACACAUGCAAGUCGAACGGGACCAGGGGCAACUCUGGUUCAGUGGCGGACGGGUGCGUAGCACGUGAGGAACAUGACUUUCGGCGGGGGAUAGCCGGCCCAACGGCCGGGUAAUACCGCGUACGACCUUUUGGGGACAUCCCUGAUUGGUGAAAGCAGCAAUGCGCCGAAAGAGUGCCUCGCGGCCUAUCAGCUAGUUGGUGGGGUAAUGGCUCACCAAGGCGACGACGGGUAGCUGGUCUGAGAGGACGACCAGCCACACUGGAACUGAGAUACGGUCCAGACUCCUACGGGAGGCAGCAGUGGGGAAUAUUGCACAAUGGGCGAAAGCCUGAUGCAGCGACGCCGCGUGAGGGAUGAAGGCCUUCGGGUUGUAAACCUCUUUCGGCAGGGACGAAGCGAUCAGUGACGGUACCUGCAGAAGAACGCCCGGCCAACUACGUGCCAGCAGCCGC
rnacentral:rRNA from 1 species